rnacentral:rRNA from 1 species
AAGCCUGACGGCAGGCCUAAACAUGCAAGUCGAGCGGUAACAGAGAGUAGCUUGCUACUUUGCUGACGAGCGGCGGACGGGUGAGUAAUGCUUGGGAACAUGCCUUGAGGUGGGGGACAACAGUUGGAAACGACUGCUAAUACCGCAUAAUGUCUACGGACCAAAGGGGGCUUCGGCUCUCGCCUUUAGAUUGGCCCAAGUGGGAUUAGCUAGUUGGUGAGGUAAUGGCUCACCAAGGCAACGAUCCCUAGCUGGUUUGAGAGGAUGAUCAGCCACACUGGGACUGAGACACGGCCCAGACUCCUACGGGAGGCAGCAGUGGGGAAUAUUGCACAAUGGGCGCAAGCCUGAUGCAGCCAUGCCGCGUGUGUGAAGAAGGCCUUCGGGUUGUAAAGCACUUUCAGUCAGGAGGAAAGGUUAGUAGUUAAUACCUGCUAGCUGUGACGUUACUGACAGAAGAAGCACCGGCUAACUCCGUGCCAGCAGCCGCGGUAAUACGGAGGGUGCGAGCGUUAAUCGGAAUUACUGGGUGUUAAGCGUACGCAGGCGGUUUGUUAAACGAGAUGUGAAAGCCCCGGGCUCAAACUGGGAAC